rnacentral:rRNA from 1 species
AACGCGAAGAACCUUACCUACCCUUGACAUACAGCGAAGUGACCAGAGAUGGACACGUGCCUUCGGGAACGCUGCUACAGGUGCUGCAUGGCUGUCGUCAGCUCGUGUCGUGAGAUGUUGGGUUAAGUCCCGUAACGAGCGCAACCCUUGUCCUUAGUUGCCAUCGAGUAAAGUCGGGAACUCUAAGGAGACUGCCGGUGACAAACCGGAGGAAGGCGGGGACGACGUCAAGUCAUCAUGGCCCUUACGGGUAGGGCUACACACGUGCUACAAUGGUUAGUACAGAGGGCAGCGAAGCGGCGACGUGGAGCCAACCCUAAAAAGCUAAUCGUAGUCCGGAUUGAAGUCUGCAACUCGACUUCAUGAAGUCGGAAUCGCUAGUAAUCGCGAAUCAGCAUGUCGCGGUGAAUACGUUCCCGGGCCUUGUACACACCGAGACGAC